rnacentral:lncRNA from 1 species
UUUGAAAAUAGCUUUUAAUAAUUUAUAAUACAGCUCUAACUUUAAAAAAAGCAGAAGACAAACAAUAAAUAAAAAAAAUACAGGUUGUGCUUGACCGAGUGUCUGAGAUCCCAUUUUGCUCCAAUCUUCAAGCUGCUGCAUUUCAGCAACAUCCCUGCAUCUCAGCAGUAAACAAUCUGCAAAUAUUGCUGCCUUCAGACAGGUCACUCAGCACAUUUUAAAGCAGGCUCCUUGUUUACUGCUCAGAUUAUCUGCAAUGUGCUUUUCUGCUCCUCACAGUGUCAGGACCUGAUACACAGUUUGCAAAUAUUAUGUAAAGGAAAUAAUUCUCAAUGGCAAACAAUUACAACCGAGUGUAAAACAAGAGACUGGCUGGGGGUGGGAGAGCAGGGCAGAGGUUUGGUGUCUGUGUGUGUGUAUCUAUAAAGGGUUGGAGGGGGGAGGAAUGGGGAGUAAGGAAAAGCAACUGUAUAAAAGAGCAUUUUUACCAGACAAUGUCAUAGUCUCAGUGACAUGUAAUGAUGUUUAAAUACCUUUGCCAUUUUCCCCUGGUGAUUGCUGCACUGGGUGUGUUCUGUGGGCCUAUAGAGAUAUGUUUUUCAAAAAUCAGGAUGGAGUGAAUGCCGUUCGUUGUUCUGGCUGCAAAAUGUCAAACUGCAGUGGAAAGAAAUACAGCAUUGCAGUGGUGGUGCACUGAGGCCCCCGGUAGGAAAGCAGGAGCUAUUAAGUGGAAAAUUCCUGCAGAGGACGUGUUUCCAUUUCUAAUGCGAAGAAAGAGGGUGUUGUUUGAGGCUGGCAGGUCUGUGGAAAAUACAGAAAACACAGGGAAGAUGAGAAAAUGACCUCAUUGAACUCUGAGAACUUAAGCAAACAAACAGCUUCAGCCAACAUACCACAUUCUUCUGCCCAAACAACAAAUUGACCUUAAAGUACAACCAAAAAGAAGACCUGGAAAUCUGAAAAUAUGCAGAAUAACAAUCCAGCAAAGAAUGGAUACAUUUCUUGGAGAAUGGGCAGUAGCUGCCAGUAUCUUUGUCUACUUGUUCUGGCCAUUCUCACUUUGGAGUACUCAGGACUCUGGAUCAAGGCUAAAUGGUGGUGGGAAAGGUGGCCUGCUCCAGAAGCAGUGGUGGGAGUCACUGCACCCGAGUACCUGCCUGUGCUGGCUGCUGCUCCACACGCUCCAGGGUAAGUGUAGUUGCCUGUCAGGCUUCUCUGUGCCCUUAGAAGAUGCAGUUUGCAGUGUGCCCAGUGCUGCAGUGCCCUGCUCUGGCACAGCUGGCAGGGGCCCUGCCCUGCCUGACCCAGAGCAGCAGGGCUGGCUCCCACAGCCAGAUGUGGCACAUUGUGGAGACCAAAAUAUCAGCCAAGUCCUUGGUGUCCUUGGUACUCUCCCCAGCACCUUGACCUGUGCUAGCCAGGGAAGCUGUGAUUUGGCCAUGGCUUGGUACUUCAAACUGCAACAAAUUGCUGCCAAUAAUAAUUAAAAAAGGAG